rnacentral:rRNA from 1 species
CCUACGGGUGGCAGCAGUGGGGAAUAUUGCACAAUGGGGGAAACCCUGAUGCAGCGACGCCGCGUGAGUGAAGAAGUAUUUCGGUAUGUAAAGCUCUAUCAGCAGGGAAGAAGAAAGACGGUACCUGACUAAGAAGCCCCGGCUAACUACGUGCCAGAAGCGGAGGUAAUAGGUAGGGGGAAAGCGUUACCCGGUUUUACGGGGUUUAAAGGGAGGGUAGACGGCUGUGCAAGUCUGAAGUGAAAGCCCGUGGCUCAACCGCGGAACUGUUUGGGAAACUGUAUAGCUUGAGUACUGGAGAGGCAAGCGGAAUUCCUAGUGUAGCGGUGAAAUGCGUAGAUAUUAGGAGGAACACCAGUGGCGAAGGCGGCCUGCUGGACAGAAACUGACGUUGAGGCUCGAAAGCGUGGGGAGCAAACAGGAUUAGAUACCCUUGUAGUC